UACGUAGGGUGCAAGCGUUAAUCGGAAUUACUGGGCGUAAAGAGCGUGUAGGUGGCUAGAUAAGUCGGAUGUGAAAUCCCUCGGCUCAACCGAGGAAGGGCAUUCGAAACUAUCUAGCUCGAGGAUGGCAGAGGAAGGUGGAAUUCCUAGUGUAGAGGUGAAAUUCGUAGAUAUUAGGAGGAAUACCGGUGGCGAAGGCGGCCUUCUGGACCAUUCCUGACAACUGGAGACGCGAAAGCGUGGGUAGCAAACAGG
rnacentral:rRNA from 1 species